rnacentral:misc_RNA from 1 species
GGAGAAUAAGUCUUUGCUCAGUGAAACUGAGAAACUAGGAUCAGAGUUUUCAGAGUCAAAGUCUCUAAUUGAAGCUCUGCAGACGGAAGUGGCUGAAGCAAAGGGGCACUUGACCUCGGUGAUGGAAGAGAGAAAUGAGCUUGAGGAGCAGAAGAAGUAUCUUCUCAGUGAAACUGAGAAACAGUCAUUUCAGUUGGCAGAAUACAAGAACUCGUGCAAUAAGGUGGAAUAUGACCUGAAAGACGCAAGUCUGCGUAUCGAACAUCUGACUGAGGAGAACAUGCAUCUGAAGAGAAGAAUGGAGUUGUCUGAGACGAUGAAAACAGAGUCACCUAAAAAAAGUAGCUUCUUCCUUAGAUUGA